rnacentral:rRNA from 1 species
GAUGAACGCUGGCGGCGUGCAUAACACAUUCAAGUCGAACGGUGAUGAGGACUUCGGUCCUCUGAUCAGUGGCGGACGGGUGAGUAACACGUGAGUAACCUGCCCUUGAGUGGGAAUAACACACCGAAAGGUGUGCUAAUACCGCAUAAUAUAUGUAUCCCGCAUGAGAAACAUAUCAAAGAUUUAUUGCUCAAGGAUGGGCUCGCGGCCGAUUAGGUAGUUGGUGAGGUAAUGGCUCACCAAGCCGACGAUCGGUAGCCGGACUGAGAGGUUGAACGGCCACAUUGGGACUGAGACACCGGCCCAGACUCCUACGGGAGGCAGCAGGUGGGGAAUAUUGCACAAUGGGGGAAACCCUGAUGCAGCGACGCCGCGUGAAGGAUGAAGGUCUUCGGAUCGUAAACUUUUGUCUUCAGGGACGAUAAUGACGGUACCUGAGGAGGAAGCCACGGCUAACUACGUG